rnacentral:lncRNA from 1 species
UUCUAAUCACAUAGAAACAUCUAAAACUUUCCCUUUUCACAAUAAAGAAACCAAUUAACAACCCUUACAUAAUAACAAAAAGAUAUACAUUAAAAUUUAACCAAAACUAGUCAAUCCAACAACAAAAAGCAAAACAAGACAAAUUUAACCAAAUACACACAAACCAUGAUACAUAAUAACAAAAAACAAUUAUACAUAGAAAUUAAGGCAAGAAACAUGAUGGGCUCACAUCAUUAUCAUAUCAAGAAAAUAUCUUGGAAAUUAAACAUAGAUAUUGAUUGGUUGGUCUGAAUUUUCUUUAAACUAUAGUAUUGGGUUUAGAUCUAACCAUGGUUGGCUAUUUUUUUAUUCAUGGUGAUGAUGAUGAUGAUGAAAGUCGCACCGAACAAGCAACAACUUGCGCCCAUUGUCUCAAUCUUGUCUUCACCGUUUGUGGAUUAUCCCCUUCACACACAAAAAUUUAGAAAUCAUAAGAAGAUAUUUGAAUUAAGAUCACUAAAACUCAUGAAUUUACGCUCAAAUGUAUCGAAAUUUAGUAGCAAUAACAGUCUGUAACAUAAUUCUAAUUAAAAUUGGAGGAAAUAUGUUCGAAUAGGAACGAAUUCAGAUUUGAUUCGAGAUCUAGAUUGAUUUACGAUGAAUAUAAGCGAUUUAAG